rnacentral:piRNA from 1 species
UGCAACAACUGUGCUAUGAAUGGAGC